CCUUGGAUAGUCACAUAUUUUGCUUCACCCACCAUAUGGGGAAUUUUUCCCCAAUGGGCGAAAACCCUGACGGAGCAAUCCGUGGUAGGGGAGGAGGCUUCUUGGGGUUGUAAACCUCUUUUUCUCGGGGAAGAACACAAAUUGGCGGUACCUGAGGAAUCGGCAUCGGCUAACUCCGUCCCAGCAGCCGCGGUAAUACGGAGGAUGCAAGCGUUUUCCGGAAUGAUUUGGGCGUAAAGCGUCCGCAGGGGGCUGAGUAAGUCUGCUGUCAAAGAGCAAAGCUCAACUUUGUAAAGGCAGUGGAAACUACACGGCUAGAGUGCGUUCGGGGCAGAGGGAAUUCCUGGUGUAGCGGUGAAAUGCGUAGAGAUCAGGAAGAACACCGGUGGCGAAGGCGCUUUGCUAGGCCGCAACUGACACUGAGGGACGAAAGCUAGGGGAGCGAAUGGGAUUAGAUACCCCAGUAGUCCUAGCUGUAAACGAUGGAUACUAGGCGUGGCUUGUAUUGACCCGAGCCGUGCCGUACCUAACGCCUUAAGUAUCCCGCCCGGGGAGUACGCAUCGCAAGUGUGAAACUCAAAGGAAUUGACGGGGGGCCGAACAACCGGUGGAGAAUGUGGUUUAAUUCGAUGCAACGCGAAGAACCUUACAAAGGAAAGACAUGUCGCGAACUUUUUUUUACCUAUUGGGGUUUUUGGGAAAUGGGGAAAAAAAAGACCCCGGGGGCCCUCCCCUA
rnacentral:rRNA from 1 species